UACGUAGGGUGCGAGCGUUGUCCGGAAUUAUUGGGCGUAAAGAGCUCGUAGGCGGUUUGUUGCGUCGGCUGUGAAAUCCCGAGGCUCAACCUCGGGUCUGCAGUCGAUACGAGCAAACUAGAGUGUUGCAGGGGAGACUGGAAUUCCUGGUGUAGCGGUGAAAUGCGCAGAUAUCAGGAGGAACACCGGUGGCGAAGGCGGGUCUCUGGGCAACAACUGACGCUGAGGUGCGAAAGCGUGGGGAGCAAACAGG
rnacentral:rRNA from 1 species